CAGACAACACUGGACACCAACAGGCAACACCGCACAUCACUGGACACCAACAGGCAACACUGGGCACCACUGGACACCAACAGACAACACUGGACACCAACAGGCACCACUGGGCACCACUGGACACCAACAGACAACACUGGACACCAACAGGCAACACUGCACAUCACUGGACACCAACAGACAACACUGGACACCAACAGGCACCACUGGGCACCACUGGACACCAACAGACACCACUGGACACCAACAGACAACACUGGACACCAGCAGGCAUCACUGGACACCAGCAGGCAUCACUGGACACCAGCAG
ensembl:lncRNA